rnacentral:rRNA from 1 species
AUUGAACGCUGGCGGCAGGCCUAACACAUGCAAGUCGAGCGGAUGAUGGGAGCUUGCUCCUGGAUUCAGCGGUGGCCGGUUGAGUAAUGCCUAGGAAUUUGCCAGGAAGUGGGGGAUAACGUCCGGAAACGGGCGCUAAUAUCGCGUACGACGUGUGGGAGCCAGUGGGGGAUCUUCGGAUCUCACGGUUUGUGAUGAGCGUAGGUCGGAAUAACUAGUACGUGGGAUAAAGGGCUAGCAAGGAGACGAUCCUUAACUGGUCUGAGAGGAUGAUCACAAACACGGGAACUGAGACACGUCCCACACUCCUACGGUAAGCAGCAGUCGGGAAUAUUGGACGAUGGGCGAAUGCCUAAUCCAGCCAAGCCGCGUGAGUGAUGAUGCUCUUCUGAUUGGAAAGCACUUUAAGUCGUGAGGAAGUGAAGUACUUUAAUACCUUGCUGUUUUGACGGUACCAACAGAAUAAGCACCGGCUAACUUCGUG